CUUCCACAAACCAUGAGUGACACCUAGCAGUAUGUCAUGGUUACCCAAGCUAAUCAGAAGAGGGGGAGAACCUAUUCAGUUUAGGAUUACAAUGCAAUAUGGUCUUUCUCUAAUACAAUACUUUUGACCACAUUGUUUGGAUUGAUAGUUUAUUCAUGUCUACUAUCCAAUGUGAUUCAUUUACUUAUAUGAUUACCUUGAAUGUGAUUUGGAAUGACUUCCUAAAUCUCAUUCAUACUCUGGCCAGAGAUUCUUAAUCAUAUCAUAGAGUAUUCUCCCUCAAACGGUUUGAAGGUUAAAGAUCCCUUGGUGCGCAUUCACUUGCCUCUAUGGCUAAGUGGCUUAACCCCAACUAUGCCGUGGACACCCUCGAAUGGAGUGACUUUGACAUAGUCAAUGAUCAAGGACUUAACCACAAGACAACUAUGAUGUCUCAGGUCAAAGGACUACUUUGCAUUAUCCCAACCAUGAGUUCUCAUGUGACAUGAGUAUAAGAACUCCUAAUUGAUUGUGUUCAGUGGACUCAUUCGCUAUUGAGUACCUACAUGCUUGUCUUGGUGUCAAUCACACCAAUGACUCGAGACCAGUCACUCUCCAUAAGAGAAGACACAUCACAUACUGAUCUUAACGGACUGUCAAUGCCCAAUUGGCAAUCCUAUGAUCAGGAACGUUUAGGAUAUGUAUAUGAAAGAGAAUGGUCUCAUAAAUCUAACUUGUUUAAAUUACAUUCUCCUAAUUACAUAUUCCUUGGACUUAUCGUUUAAGCAUAUAACAUUUAUAUGAGACGGCUUAAAACAAUAAUCUUUGCCCUUGAUAUUAAACUAGAUUAGUUUAACAUGUGAAAUGUCCGUAAAGUACCAAUCAGCUUGGUCAUCAGUGAUGAUACCUCUUCUUUAGUCAUUUAAAAAAUGGCUAAGUAGUAGGCCUAGACAAUGGAUAUCUAUAUGUUAUCCAUAGAAGCAACCUUGAGAAUAACGACGUCACCAUUAUACAUGAUUCUCAAUCAUGUGGUUCAGUCUCUCAUUUGAGUUCGAAUCUUGAUGAGACCUUGAUUCCCUGGCUUGAGCUAUCUCCCCAUUAGUGUCGUAGUGUCGGUACACUAGAGAUACUUUCUUGUUGGAACCAAAUAGAGAGUUCAUGAAUGAACUUUCUCAUCCAAACAACAUUGUUGUAAGCUUCUAUAUGGCAAUAUAUUUUGCAUUCACAAUGGAACACACUAAAGUCAUUACUUUUAAUGUUUCCAUCCAAAUAUCUCUUUAGUCAUAAUAAAGAGAUAUUUGAUUAUCUCUUCAUUCAUAAUGAAGAAACAUCCAAUGAUGGAUUAGAUUCAUAAUCUAAUACAUUUACGCUUCCAUUACGUUAUUCUAAUUCUUCCUCAUUCUUUGAGGAAUCUAUCCUUUAGUAGUUCUUAAAUACUUAAGGACUCACUUGACAUUUGCCAUGACUCUGAUCCUGGGCUUACACUGAUAUCGUCUUGAACCGUUCUAGGUACAACUCAUAUCAAUGUUUACAUACAAUAUGAAAUACGUAAAUCACUUUUCUGCGUAUGCAUAAAGGAUUCUAUUUACGCAUUAUUUCUUUGGGAGUCAAAGGGUAUGUUCCCUUUGAGAAGAGCUACCUCCUAGUCUUACUAGAGUUGUUCUUCUGAUUGAAGUUUAUCAUCCUAGCAUCUUUUGUCUAUCAUUAGGGCUUGAUAUAAUCCAAUUAUAUCCUGAAAUCUAUCAUUAUAGAUUUACAUCCCAUGCUUAUAGACUAUGUCUCCCAUAUACAUUCUAUCAUUAUAGAAUGUUUAAAGUCAUAACUUUAACGAAGAAGUAUUCUUUUUCAUUUCCAAAAUUAAUAUAUCAUAUAUUUGUAUAUAUAUAUAUAUAUAUUCAAAUUUAGGAACAUGAUUAACUCCCACUAAUCUUUUGUAAACCUAGUAAACAAAGGAUUUAUUUACAUCUUUAUGAGAAAUCAAACAAUUUGAUCUUUCUCUCAUAAGACAUUUAUAGCUCCCAUUAGCUUGCUAAGAUCCAUGAUGGAUGGAUCUGUACAACUUACAUGUCUUGUGAUUCAUAGUUUUAGACAUAUAUUAUCAAGACUAUCUUAAUAAUGGUUUCGGAAACCCAUAUUAUGUCCAAACAUUGAAUCACCAUUUAGUUGUAGCUAGCAAUCUUCAAAUUAAUUGAAACCAAGACUACGUCAAAGAUGGUUUCUUCCAAGUCAACCAAUCUCUUUAAUUGUAGUCACCUUAAGCUACCAAUUAGUUAUAAAGGUUUCAUUAUUUCGGGUCAAAUGGUACUUUACCAUUUCCUUGAGUAUAUGUCGUAUAUACACUUAAUGUAGUCAUAAGGAUUUUCAUUCUUAUUUCUUUCGAAUUAAGAGGUGUAACUCUAUGACAUAGUCAUAAAGUUCAAACCAUUCAACUGAGACAGUUUAUAAAUCAUUCUCGACUACCUUGGAGCUUGUUCGUAGGAACUAGGUUGUUAUAUUUGUUGAUUAUCAUCUUGUCUCUCAAAGAACCCAUUCUUUGAGUUCUAUCUCUUGUUCAUUUGCGUUAGGCAAAUCAUAUUGUAGGAUUACAAUGAACUACCCAAGAAAACAACAUUUGUUUAGUUGGUUUAUAGAAGUAAUAUCCAAAGGUUAAUUUAAGGAUAUCCACAAGAUAAUUCUCAAACAAACAUUGCUUAUUAGCACACAACCCCAAAUCUUAAUAUGAUUAAGACUGUCUUUCUUUCCAACUACAUCCUAUGGAGUCAUAAAAAUUUUGGAAGAUCUUCUAAUUGACAAUCAUAUUGUCUUAGAAGUAUAUAUCCUAUAUAUGGGUAAUCGAUAACAUCCAACGAACUAAAUCUUAUUUCGAGUUCUUUCUUCUCUUAAUGGAGAAAUCCAUUAUCAUAUGAUGCUUCUUUCCUUGAUAUCUUUCAAGGAAAUUGUUCUAAAGUGUUACCUUUCCUUGGAUGAAAUCUAAGGAGGUAAAUACUUUAGACAUCUUACUCAUCAACUUACAUUUCUUGAAUUCUUUGAAACCUUUUGCAAAGUAUUCGGACUUCUGUUUAUUCAAAAUAAAUGAUAGUCCAACCGAGAGCGAUCUUCGGUGAAUGUCAUACAACAUGAG
rnacentral:lncRNA from 1 species